CAGCACCGCCCGCCGCCCCUGCUCUCCCCCCUCCCGCCUCACGGCGGCCCCUGAGCCGCCCCCGCCCCGGCGCACAACAUGGCGGCGGCACAGGCACCGGGGGCGGGGCCGCGGCCGGCCCGGCUCAGCCAAUCCGCUCGCGUCUCACGUUAUAAAAAGGGGUGGGGAAAGCGCUGUUAUCUCUGGGAUGGGGCGGCACCGACCCCGCUCCGCGCCCCCACCGCCCUCUAACACCCCCCCAUCCCCUUCACCGCUCCGUGCCGGCCGCCCUCUAACCCCCCACACCGCUCGCCGCCGGCCGCCCUCUAACCCCCCACACCGCUCCGUGCCGGCCGCCCUCUAACCCCCCACACCGCUCCCCGCCGGCCGCCCUCCCGUGCUAGCUGCCCUCCCGCUCACCGGCCCCGCGCCGUACUCGCUGCGCUCCCGCACCGCUUGUCACCCACCGCCCAGCCCCGCCCGAAAAGGAAGAAAAGAACAAGGAUCAGAGGGUCAAGGAUGGAGAUGAUAAAGAAGAGCCAAGGAGAACAUCUGGAUCAUCUGGAUACCUUCCCAUAUUCAGCUCCAAGGACAUUGGGCUAAUUAAAACUAUUGAAUGGAAAGUCCCUGGCACGUGGAAUGGGCCUGCAACAGAACCAACCAGAACGAAGCCCGCGAACCCAAGCCCAAUCAAGAGCUAACGAGUGACUAUGACUGUAGUCACUUGUUAGUGAAAAGUAUAAAAGUUGCUGUUUGUUUUUAUUGGGCUUGUGGGCCGGUGGAGAGCAGGGGUCUCUCCAGGCCACCCAGCACGCUGAUUUGCUUAUCUGCACUUUAUAUAAAUCUUACAAUAAAUUUUGCUGCUAAA